AUCAUCGUUUUUACUGGCUUUCUCUCGCCCACUUGGCGGAGGCUGCCUUUGGGAAAGGGAAGGGCACGUCUGGGGCCCUCCUGCCACCCUUGGAAGCACAAGCCUCCAGAGGAGGGAGGGAGUGGGGCACCCCUCUGUGUCCCGACUGUUUGGCAGACACAGUGCUGAUUCCAAGGAGACGGCCUGGGGCCACCAGGCCAAGAGGCCGGACCCUGCCUCCUCCCAGCUCGGGCCGGAGCGGAUUGGAUGCGCUGGGGCUGGGAUCCCGUUCUGGCGGGGUCCCAGCAGUGGGCAGGGGACGCCCAGGGAGGGCGAGUGUUAGCGCUCUGCUUUGCUGGCCCCCUUGGUCCACCCGUAGCCCACUUGGCGUGGGACCCGAGAUGUCCAAAUCCUCUCUGUCACUUCCUGGACCUGUGGCCUCUGGCCCACGACACCUCCUCCUGGGAGCCUCCCAGGAGGCCCAGCCAGCUUCUAGGGCACCUCCAGCUCUGCUCUGCUCCAUCUUGGUCUGUAUUUUGACCCAAGUUCUUUCUAGAAAGGGACAUGUCCCUUCCCUUGUCAGGACACCCCUGCUCUUGCUAAGCGAGUGCUCUGCUCAUGGGGUGCCAGCACUGGGGCGGAGAGGUCACAGGUGUGACCUUGCUUCCUGCUCAGCACCAGCCUGAUGGGCCCCAAAGUUUCCCAAGUGUCAAACGUGUGCCAGGCACUGUUCUAGGUGCUGGCACUCGAUGGGAGACAAAACAGGCCUGGCAGAGGGGAGGGAUGGAGGCAGCCGAGUGGGUGUCUG
rnacentral:lncRNA from 1 species